GAGCGCACCUUCGGGUGAGCGGCGGACGGGUUAGUAACGCGUGGGAACAUACCCUUUGGUACGGAAUAGCCUCUGGAAACGGAGAGUAAUACCGUAUGAGCCCUUCGGGGGAAAGAUUUAUCGCCAAAGGAUUGGCCCGCGUUAGAUUAGGUAGUUGGUGGGGUAAUGGCCUACCAAGCCUACGAUCUAUAGCUGGUUUUAGAGGAUGAUCAGCAACACUGGGACUGAGACACGGCCCAGACUCCUACGGGAGGCAGCAGUGGGGAAUCUUGGACAAUGGGGGCAACCCUGAUCCAGCCAUGCCGCGUGAGUGAUGAAGGCCUUAGGGUCGUAAAGCUCUUUCGCCUGUGAAGAUAAUGACGGUAGCAGGUAAAGAAACCCCGGCUAACUCCGUGCCAGCAGCCGCGGUAAUACGGAGGGGGUUAGCGUUGUUCGGAAUUACUGGGCGUAAAGCGCACGUAGGCGGACUGGAAAGUUGGGGGUGAAAUCCCAGGGCUCAACCCUGGAACUGCCUCCAAAACUAUCAGUCUAGAGUUCGAGAGAGGUGAGUGGAAUUCCGAGUGUAGAGGUGAAAUUCGUAGAUAUUCGGAGGAACACCAGUGGCGAAGGCGGCUCACUGGCUCGAUACUGACGCUGAGGUGCGAAAGUGUGGGGAGCAAACAGGAUUAGAUACCCUGGUAGUCCACACCGUAAACGAUGAAUGCCAGUCGUCGGGUAGCAUGCUAUUCGGUGACACACCUAACGGAUUAAGCAUUC
rnacentral:rRNA from 1 species